CAAUAGCGUAUAUUUAAGUUGCUGCAGUUAAAAAGCUCGUAGUUGGAUUUCGGGUGGGAAUGGCCGGUCCGCCGUUUCGGUGUGCACUUGCUACGCCCACCUUGCUGCCGGGGACGUGCUCUUGAGUUCACGCUCGGGACACGGAGUCGGCGAGGUUACUUUGAGUAAAUUAGAGUGUUCAAAGCAGGCCUACGCUCUGAAUACAUUAGCAUGGAAUAACACGAUAGGACUCUGGCCUAUCUUGUUGGUCUGUAGGACCGGAGUAAUGAUUAAGAGGGACAGUCGGGGGCAUUCGUAUUUCAUUGUCAGAGGUGAAAUUCUUGGAUUUAUGAAAGACGAACUACUGCGAAAGCAUUUGCCAAGGAUGUUUUUAUUAA
rnacentral:rRNA from 1 species